GCUUACCUUGGCCUGAAAUAUUAAGGGAGGGAGGCCUUGGGACGAGGGGCUGGAGUGCUGCGCGAACACCUGCGCCGGCGGCUGGCCUCCCGCUUCCCGCUCUGCCGCGCGCCAUUCCUAACCCUAGCCCCGGGGUUCCUCCGACGGGAGCCGGUCGUCAGCGUCACCUGCGGGGCGGGCGAGAGCGCGGACGGCUGCGCCCGGCGCCUGGAGCUUCUGCGUCGCCGCGCCGGCUGCGGGGCUCGGGAGUUCACAUUGCUAACGAGUUCCCAGGUCAAGCCGGUGACAACAGGCCGAGAACCACUGUCCUACCCAUCGGGGAUCCCCGCACCUGCCGCCGUCCCGGUGGCUUCUCACCCGGCGUCGUCUCCACGAGGAGAAACUCCGCGUGUGCGGGCGGGCGGGCGGGGGUAGGGUGGGGACGGGCAUUGACUUGGGAGUUUUCUAACCCUGAGUCCACACCUUCCUUCAACUAACGGGUCAACACAGGGGCUGACAGCUUCAUUUUUUAAACGGCAGCGAUCUUUUUGUGAAAUGUCAACGUAAACAACAAAGGGCAGGGCUGAGGGGCUGCCGGGAAGCUGAAGCGCGAAGGCCCCAGAAGCUAAAGCUUCUCCGACGGGCUCUGAGGGGGCGUGGCGGCGGGAAGGGGCGUGGUCGCGGAGGCGGCGUGGCGGCGGGUCUCGGACCCGCGGUGCCCUCGCGGGGUUGCGGGGAGGAGGGUCCGGGCGGGAGGACGUCCGCCCGGGCGCGCUGUAAACAGUUCCGGGCCCUCGAGGGAUCCCCAGGGCCCGUGCUGGUGACCGCGCGUAGAAGUAUGCGGUGCUGGGAAUGGGAGCGCCGCCUGUGAAGCCGCAAAGCCCCGCUUGGUGAAUAUGUAGGAAAUGACGAUCCACUCCUGCGUGGAAGGCCAGCGCUCCAUCUUCACCAACACGAUGUAGUUGAAGAGCAUCAGAUACCCGAUGUACGCCAGCUGCAAGGAAGCACAGAGAAGAGGGGGCGCUUGGGUUCCGAAGACCCAGGAGCCCUGCCCUCGGGACGGAAGGAGCCCACCCCGCAGGACGGAACAAGGUCAGCGAGCAGGACGUAGCAUUCAUGAUGGAAUUAACCUGAAAGCUUUCAACUGUCCAAAGAAUUAAAAAAAAAAAA